rnacentral:rRNA from 1 species
AUAACUAAGCGGAGGAAAAGAAACCAAAUGGGAUUCUCUGAGUAACGGCGAGCGAAAGGAGAAAAGUCCAGCGCCAAGUCUUGACGUUUUAGGCGUUCAAGAGAUGCGGCGUUUAUGUGUUGGCGCAUCRCACGUUGCCGUAUGUUUCAAGUUCCUUUGACAGGGACAUCCAUAGCGGGUGCUAGGCCCAUAGAGRCGAACGGCUGACAUGUGCAGGCCAAUGCAUUCUAGAGUCAGGUUGCUUGAGAGUGCAGCUUAAAGUCGGUGGUAAACUCCAUCCAAGACUAAAUAUGACAGCGAGACCGAUAGCAAACAAGUACCGUGAGGGAAAGUUGGAAAGCACUUUGAAGAGAGAGUCAAAAAGCACGUGAAACCACUGGGAGGCAAACAGAUGGAACCACGAAGUUGCGUCUUGGUCGAUUCAAUCGUUGCUGAUUGCCAACGGCACCGAAUGYGGAUCUUUUCGAAGGUUAAUUCGAUGCUUUUGGGCGAUCAGCAUCGGUGCAUUUCGUAUCGAGGAUGCUAAGCCACGUUCGACUAAAUGAUUGGGACGGCCGUAGGAAAGGAURCGAGAAAGGUGACCGUCAGGUCUUCGAUUUGGCGGCGUUAUAGUCUCGAGUCGGAACCGUCGCCUAAUGCAUUGGUCGAUGAAAAUUCUCCGUAUGGAGUUUAGCUGUGAUYGCCUGCGAGCGGCAGUGGUCGUUYGGRGAUGUUCUUUGCGUGUCUUUGGAUGCGAAAAGACRUUUCGACAAUGAUGGCUGACGUUUGCUUGCGUUUGACGGCAGAACUGUGGCGCGAGUAGGUCGGUUUCCAUCUGACCCGUCUUGAAACACGGACCAAGGAGCCUAUCAUAUACGCGAGUCGCUCGGUCUUGAAUAGGCCUGAGAGGCAAAAUGAAAGUAAAACUACGAGACUUAGGUCGCAGURGUGGCUCGCCUACUUCGUUUAUUGGCGAUGAGGCGAAGCUGGAGCGUAUACGAUGGUACCCGAAAGAUGGUGAACUAUGCCUGGGCAAGACGAAGCCAGAGGAAACUCUGGUGGAGGUCUGUAGCGAUUCUGACGUGCAAAUCGAUCGUCAGACCUGGGUAUAGGGGCGAAAGACUAAUCGAACCAUCUAGUAGCUGGUUCCCUCCGAAGUUUCCCUCAGGAUAGCAGGCGCUUUUUUGAAAACAGUCUCAUCCGGUAAAGCUAAUGAUUAGAGGUCUUGGGGUUGAAACGACCUCAACCUAUUCUCAAACUUUAAAUGGGUGAGAUGGUCGACUUGCUUGAUUGAAGCCGACCAAUUGGAUGUGGAGUGCCUAGUGGGCCAUUUUUGGUAAGCAGAACUGGCGCUGUGGGAUGAACCAAACGUCGAGAUAAGGCAUCAAAUGCAUACGCUCAUGAGACCCCAUAAAAGGUGUUGGUUGCUAUAGACAGCAGGACGGUGGCCAUGGAAGUCGGAAUCCGCUAAGGAGUGUGUAACAACUCACCUGCCGAAGCAACUAGCCCUGAAAAUGGACGAUGCUGUAGCGUGGAGCCGAUACUCGACCGUAAUGGUGAUACGAUUGAGAAUGCGAUACCGUUACGAGUAGGAGGGCCGCGAUGAUAGCGUUGAAGAUGUCAGGCGUAAGCCUGCUUGGAGCUGUCAUUGGU